rnacentral:lncRNA from 1 species
CAGGAAUUUGCUAUAAGCAAAAACAUCCAAUUGGGUGAUGAGAAGGGCUUAAAAUUCCCCUCUGUUUGGGACUGGUCUCUCCAGUUUACAGCAAAGGAUCGCACCCUUUUCCAUAACCCCUUCUACAUUGGAAAGAGCACACCUUGUAUACAGAAUGGCUCCGUGAAGUCUUUUAAACGGACAAAGGUCUGGCUCUUGUAACCGUGAUCAAACUGUUCAUGUUGUCUGCUACAUUUUUGUCUCCAUCCAUUUUUCCUACCACCUCCUGAAGGCUAUCUGAUAGUCAGUCACAUUAGCAGCCCCAGGCAGCAGACAACAGGAAAGUUAGGAAAUUUGUGUUUCGUGUCAUUUUUAGGAGCAUCUGAUAAAACCUCCAGCAGGUUUUAGGAAGUAUUCAUGUAUUUUUCUGGUUACUUUCUGUCGUCUCUAAUUGAACUCACCUGAUGAAGGUUCAGUGUUCUGGGGCCAGAAUUUAUGAUUUUAGAUCACCUUCUUUGGAACCUUAGAUCACUGUGUUUUGAAAUCAUGAGUUUGCUUUUAACUUCAUAGGGUCAACUUUAAAAUGAUAUGCACUGUUAAUUUUAAAGCAUUUGCUGCAGAUAAUUAAACUUAGAAGUGCCUUUGACUUUAGGAUACAAAUAUUACAGAAGAAAAUAUAAUUUCACUUUUUAAAAUUGGGGUGGGAAAAUCCCAUUGCAUAUUUGAAAUAGGCUUUUCAUACUAAGCUUCAUAGCCAGGAGUCCCCAGAGUCUUGUUCCUCUGAAAGCCACUGGGGAGUGGCCUCUGGGGUGCUGAUUCCACAGAGGUGUAUGCUGUAGACAGGAGAGUGCCAUCUAUGCCAAAACUCGCCCUCAAAAACAAACAAGGCUUGCUGGGAGGCGUGCUGGGCUUGGCCAUCAGUAUUUCCAGUGUGGUAAACUAUUGCUGGCACUUCCCCCUGGAAAUAACUAAUGAGGUUACGAGUUGGGCACCUGCACAGAUGUCCUUCUCUCAUAGUUCCUAAUGCUUAGGAAUAGAGGAGAAAUAAAAAAAUGGAUUCUCUCAAAACACUGCCAUUUGAAUAGCGACAGAAGUGCUCCCCCAGCCCCCAACUUUGGACAGCAAAGUUGAGGAGAAUGAGCAGACACAGUUGUUUGCUUGAUCUGAAUCUCUCUAAAGUAAAGUAUUUCCAAACUGUGUGACAAGAGCCUACCUACCACUGUAGCGGUCAAAGCUGAAGCUUCUUACAGCAGUGAAACGGGGCACCACCUCCCCCACACUCCUCAUUCCCCGCUUAAAACAUGGAUACUUUCAAAUUUGACUGUUUCUUAAACUGCCAUCCUAAGAUAUGGAAAAUUUUUAUAGUAAAGUGUCUAGUUAGCUUAUUUCCUUUUCUAAAACAAGUGUUUUCAAGAUAACUGUAUUUUACCUUUAUAUGUACUGAAUAGCUGUUUCUUUUUGAAUUAUUUGCCUUUUAAAAUUUGAUAAUGUCUCUGGAUAUAACAGGACAGGAGUUCUUAAAAAAUAUCUUAAGAAAUUCACUUUAUGGGUAAACCCAAGGUUUUUGCCAACUUGUUGCCUAGAAAAUAAGGGCUAGUUUCAGUUUAUACAAAUAGAAUUAUUAAACAUUUUACAGUCCUUGAUUAGAAACCAGACCCAAUCUCCUUAUAACACCACAGCGUAUCCUGCCAUUGACAGUGUAAUCACAAUUCUCCCUUUUUCAUUUAGCUGCUUUUUUAUUAUUACUAAAUGUUUUGGAUUGAGCAUUUUUCCCUCUGUAAUUUUCUUCCUUCACGUUUAUUUUAACUCUUGUAGUAUUUUAUUGUUGUUAAUUUACAAGUUUAAAAAUAUUAGGUACUAUUAAUAAUGGUUAAAAAUAGAAAAAUGCAUAUUUUUGUAUGAUAAUCAAAUGUAAAAUACUUUUAUUUUUGCUGGA